rnacentral:rRNA from 1 species
GACGAACGCUGGCGGCGUGCUUAACACAUGCAAGUCGAACGGAAAGGCCCUGCUUUUGUGGGGUGCUCGAGUGGCGAACGGGUGAGUAACACGUGAGUAACCUGCCCUUGACUUUGGGAUAACUUCAGGAAACUGGGGCUAAUACCGGAUAGGAGCUCCUGCUGCAUGGUGGGGGUUGGAAAGUUUCGGCGGUUGGGGAUGGACUCGCGGCUUAUCAGCUUGUUGGUGGGGUAGUGGCUUACCAAGGCUUUGGCGGGUAGCCGGCCUGAGAGGGUGACCGGCCACAUUGGGACUGAGAUACGGCCCAGACUCCUACGGGAGGCAGCAGUGGGGAAUAUUGCACAAUGGGCGGAAGCCUGAUGCAGCAACGCCGCGUGCGGGAUGACGGCCUUCGGGUUGUAAACCGCUUUCGCCUGUGACGAAGCGUGAGUGACGGUAAUGGGUAAAGAAGCACCGGCUAACUACGUGCCAGCAGCCGCGGUGAUACGUAGGGUGCGAGCGUUGUCCGGAUUUAUUGGGCGUAAAGGGCUCGUAGGUGGUUGAUCGCGUCGGAAGUGUAAUCUUGGGGCUUAACCCUGAGCGUGCUUUCGAUACGGGUUGACUUGAGGAAGGUAGGGGAGAAUGGAAUUCCUGGUGGAGCGGUGGAAUGCGCAGAUAUCAGGAGGAACACCAGUGGCGAAGGCGGUUCUCUGGGCCUUUCCUGACGCUGAGGAGCGAAAGCGUGGGGAGCGAACAGGCUUAGAUACCCUGGUAGUCCACGCUGUAAACGGUGGGUACUAGGUGUGGGGUCCAUUCCACGGGUUCCGUGCCGUAGCUAACGCUUUAAGUACCCCGCCUGGGGAGUACGGCCGCAAGGCUAAAACUCAAAGGAAUUGACGGGGCCCCGCACAAGCGGCGGAGCGUGCGGAUUAAUUCGAUGCAACGCGUAGAACCUUACCUGGGUUUGACAUGGAUCGGGAGCGCUCAGAGAUGGGUGUGCCUCUUUUGGGGUCGGUUCACAGGUGGUGCAUGGCUGUCGUCAGCUCGUGUCGUGAGAUGUUGGGUUAAGUCCCGCAACGAGCGCAACCCUUGUUCACUGUUGCCAGCACGUUAUGGUGGGGACUCAGUGGAGACCGCCGGGGUCAACUCGGAGGAAGGUGGGGAUGACGUCAAGUCAUCAUGCCCCUUAUGUCCAGGGCUUCACGCAUGCUACAAUGGCUGGUACAGAGAGUGGCGAGCCUGUGAGGGUGAGCGAAUCUCGGAAAGCCGGUCUCAGUUCGGAUUGGGGUCUGCAACUCGACCUCAUGAAGUCGGAGUCGCUAGUAAUCGCAGAUCAGCAACGCUGCGGUGAAUACGUUCCCGGGGCUUGUACACACCGCCCGUCAAGUCAUGAAAGUUGGUAACACCCGAAGCCGGUGGCCUAACCGUUGUGGGGGAGCCGUCGAAGGUGGGACUGGUGAUUAGGACU